GCUCAAGUACCUGAGUAUGCAGUAUAGCUCUUAAUGAGACUUUUAAUCACAGGGUCAUGGGUUUGAGCCCCAUGUUGAGCA